GGCUCCAUUUAAUUUUCGAUGGCCAUGUUCCAGCAACAGUCGGUAAAAAUCUUGUGUGAACGAACCACUUCAAGGCAGACUGCUUUGAAAACCUAGGACAGUACACUGAGGGAUUAGCCAUCAAACUUUGUUUGACAGAGGGAUCUGUACCUACUGUCCGUGGCAAGUCACAAGAUGAGACAGUGAGCUGCCUGCUACAAUGGCGGCGCUCGGGGAGCAGUGAGGGGUUAGGUGCCUUGCUCAAGGGCACUUCAGCACUGGAGUGCUAACCAGUGGGCCACGGCUGCCCUUCAAAUACAGGAAGGGAGAGUGCAGGGUGAAACCCAUCAAAACCGAGACAACAUUCCCGUAUGUGGAAGACUUGAUGGGCUUCAUCAUGGGCGAGGUCUUUGUGGACCAAGAAGCAUACAGGGAGGAACUCCUGAAAAUAAGCAUUCCUCUGGACCUGUCCUCAGAGUUUGAGCACCCAGAGAAGGAGGAGGUGAUCGCCAACUAUGUGUCUCACUUCAAUCCAGGGGAGGCAGUUUGAAGCCCACAUAUUGUCCUUGGCUGUCAGGAAACUCCCGACGAACACGCAGGACCACACAUGACGGGAUGACGACCCUUAUUCUGCAUCCAAGGAAUCCCCAACACCAACUGACAAAGCUCCUGUAGGCAAGCUAUCUGUAAUGACUAAAAAAAAAAAAACAUUGCAG